rnacentral:rRNA from 1 species
GGUUCGAUCAUGGCUCAGAUUGAACGCUGGCGGGAUGCUUUUUACACAUGCAAGUCGAACGGCAGCACGACUGGCUGGUGGCGAGUGGCGAACGGGUGAGUAAUGCGGUUUUCCGAACGUGCCUAGUAGCGGGGGAUAACUACGCGAAAGCGUAGCCAAUACCGCAUACGUUCGGGGAAAGCGGGGGGACCUUCGGGCCUGCACCGGUUUAGGAGCGGCCGAUAUCGGAUUAGCUAGUUGGUGGUGGGGUAACGGCUCACUAAGGCGACGAUCCGUAGCUGGUUUGAGAGGAUGAUCAGCCACACUGGGACUGAGACACGGCCCAGACUCCUACGGGAGGCAGCAGCGGGGGAAUUUGGACAAUGGGGGAAACCCUGAUCUGCCGCAUCCCGCGUGUGCGAUGAAGGCCUUCGGGUAAAGCACUUUUGGCAGGAAAGAAACGGCACGGAUAAUACCCCGUGCAACUGACGGUACCUGCAGAAUAAGCACCGGCUAACUACGUCAGCAGCCGCGGGGUAAUACGUGGUGGGUGCAAGCGCAAUCGGAAUUACUGGGCGUAAAAGCGUGCGCAGGCGGUUCGGAAAGAAAGAUGUGAAAUCCCAGAGCUUAACUUGGAACUGUAUUUUAACUGUCAGCCAGAGUGUGUCAGAGGGAGGUGGAAUUCCGCGUGUAGCAGUGAAAUGCGCAGAUAUGCGGAGGAACACCGAUGGCGAAGGCAGCCUCCUGGGAUAACACUGACGCCUAUGCACGAAAGUGGAGCAAAACAGGAUUAGAUACCCUGGUAGUCCACGCCUCAAACGAUGUCAACUAGCUGUUGGGGCCUUCGGGCCUUGGUAGCGCUAACGCGUGAAGUUGACCGCCUGGGGACAUGGUCGCAAGAUUAAAACUCAAAGGAAUUGACGGGGACCCGCACAAGCGGUGGAUGAUGUAGAUUAAUUCGAUGCAACGCGAAAACCUUACCUACCCUUGACAUGUCUGGAAUCCCGAAUAGCUGCAAGAGAACUGGAACACAGGUGCUGCAUGGCUGUCGUCAGCUCGUGUCGUGAGAUGCUGGGUUAAGUCCCGCAAUGAGCGCAACCCUUGUCAUUAGUUGCUGCUGAAAGGGCACUCUAAUGAGACUGCCGGUGACAAACCGAGGGAAGGUGGGGAUGACGUCAAGUCCUCAUGCAGCCUCCGCGGGUAGGCUUCACACGCUCGCGCAAUGGUCGGGACAGAGGGUCGCCAACCCGCAGGUGGAGCUCAAUCACAGAAACCCGACGUAGUCCGGAUCGCAGUCUUGCAACUCGACUUCAGGUGAAGUCGGAAUCGCUAGUAAUCGCGGAUCAGCAUACCGUGGUGAAUACGUUCCCGUCUUGUACACACCGCCUGUCACACCAUGGGAGUGGGUUUUACCAGAAGUAGUUAGCCUAACCGUAAGGAGGGCGAUUACCACGGUAGGAUUCAUGACUGGGGUGAAGUCGUAACAA